GAAGUAAACGCUCUCAGAGCUAGUGCUGAAACCAAACACCUCCCUGUCAUUUGGGAUCAGGGCAAAGCAGCUGCUGAGAGUACAGUAAUUGCAGUUCCUGAACAUAAGAAGCUCAAGGAUAUUAAGUACCUCCAUCCUUUUGAAAAUAAGAAGAAGGAAUGGCUUGUCAUCGUAAAGGUGCUCAAGAUUGAUAGCUCAUGGUGGUACAACGCAUGCAAAAAAUGCCUUAGGACAACCAAACCGCAUGGUGACACAUACAAGUGCACCAAUAAUUCCUGUGACAACAUAGGAUCGCCUACCCCAAGUGCUUUUGGACACGAGCAGCACCGGCUAUGGAGGCCCACUUUUGGGAA
rnacentral:misc_RNA from 1 species